rnacentral:rRNA from 1 species
GGGGGGGUAAUCCGGGGAAAGGCAUUUAGGAGAUAGUGCCCCCCUUGUGGUCGGUAUACAGGUGGUGCAUGGUUGUCGUCAGCUCGUGUCGUGAGAUGUUGGGUUAAGUCCCGCAACGAGCGCAGCCCUCGUUCUAUGUUGCCAGCACGUCAUGGUGGGGACUCAUAGGAGACUGCCGGGGUCAACUCGGAGGAAGGUGGGGACGACGUCAAGUCAUCAUGCCCCUUAUGUCUUGGGCUUCACGCAUGCUACAAUGGCCAGUACAAAGGGCUGCGAGACCGUAAGGUGGAGCGAAUCCCAAAAAGCUGGUCUCAGUUCGGAUCGGGGUCUGCAACUCGACCCCGUGAAGUCGGAGUCGCUAGUAAUCGCAGAUCAGCAACGCUGCGGUGAAUACGUUCCCGGGCCUUGUACACACCGAAU